rnacentral:rRNA from 1 species
GCCGAAUGAACUAGCCCUGAAAAUGGAUGGCGCUUAAGCGUGGAGCCGAAACUCGACCGUUUUGGCGCAUAGGUUAUGCCUAAACGAGUAGGAGGAUGUGGUCCUCACGACGAAGCCUGUGCGUAAGCUUGGGUGGAGUGGGGUCCAGUACAGAUCUUGGUGUGAGUAGCAAUUAUACAAAUGUGAUCUUUGUAGACUGAAGUGGGGAAGGGUUCCAUGUGAACAGCAUUUGAACAUGGGUUAGUCGGUCCUAAGAGUUGGGGAAAUUCCUUGUUGAAUGUGCCUUUUCGGAGGCACUCCACUCGAAAGGGAAUCAGGUUAAUAUUCCUGAACCAGGUUGCGGAUAAUGUAUGGUAACAUGAUCAAUCUUGGUGACAUUGGCGGGAGCCCCGGAAAGAGUUCUCUUUUCUUUUUAACAGU